UAAUGAUGACCAAUGGGAAAGGUAACUUA
rnacentral:piRNA from 1 species